GCACAACCAUGGGAAGGUCUCCUGCACGUCAGGGGGAUGCAGGGGUCCCAGUCCUCACAACAGUGCAGGAACCUCAGGAAUAGGCUAUGGCUGUUUGCAUCCCUCCAUCCUGCAGCCCCUCGGGCAUGUGGGCCACUACAGGGGACUUAGGGGUGGCCCUGCCUAGAACUCCUCGCUCUUUCUCAACUGUCACAUCUGAUCAAUUAGAAACGCUGUACAAGCUGAGUGUGCUUGUGCACCCCUGUAAAUCCCAGCACUUGGCAGGCUGAGGCAGGAAGAUUGCUGUGAGUUCGAGGCCAGCUUGGGAUACACAAUGAGUCCAAGGCUUGGCUGAACUAAUAGCAAGACUUUUCUCAAAAAACAAAACAAAGCAAAGCAAAGCAAAACAAAACAAAAGUAGGUAUGUAUCACACUUUAAUGCAGCAUCAAGGCUGCCCUUCCUUCUACUUCCCCAGAUCCAGCAAGCCUGGACUCCUGUCUGUGAAACCCACCUGCCUCAGUCUGCCUUCUAUGGCCGGAGUUUUGCCCCAUCCAGGCCACCAUUACAGAGCAGACUGGUGCUCAGCUGUACUUAUCAACCUACAGCAGGCUGGGCCCUAACACCAUCCUUCCCUUUCUUAAUUUCUGUUAGAAUCCUUCUUUUCUUUUUUCUUCUGUCUCUCUCUCUUCUUUCUUUCUGCCCCCCCCCCUUUUUAAGUCAGGGUCUCACUGACAUCCAAGCUGGCCUUGAACUUACUAUGUAGCCCAGGUUGCCUCAAAAAUCUUGGUGAUUCUCCUGCCUCAGCCUCCUUACUGUCACUAUGCCUGGCUUUAUUUCCUAAACAUUAAAUGUUCACUGAGGUUCUGUCAGUCUUUCUCCUCUUGUCUAAUUCAAUGUCAGUGUCUAGUCUACCUCAGGGUCACUCAUUUUUCUUUCUUAUGCCACUAGAGAUUUCCAAGCCUUCACCAGCCAGCCCUGAUUUUUGGCCCUGAAGCCCAGGUGUGCAAACGCAGUAGAUUCGAUUACGUGAAGUUACACAUAUAACAAAGGGAACUGGGCAGGUGUAAACAAGGCUCCUCAUCGGUUGAUCAGGAUCAAAUAGGAGCGUAGCAAGGAAGCGGCCCAAACCUUAGAAGAUUGGCCCCAAGCCGGAAGCGGAAUCUUCCUGGACACCGCAGUUGCAAGCCUGAGGAGGUCGCCAGGCCGCCUGAAGUUGGGGACCGUGAAUGCACAGACACUGGCUUUGACUAUACCAGGGCCUUAGAUCUGAGAUCUGCUCAGGUCUCCGAGGGACUUCCAGUCCCUUAGUCACAGUCCAGGCCCCGUGCUGCUACGGAGGGUACAAGCAGGGCCGUAAUCACCAGUGGCCCUGGAGCCUCUUUGACAGUGGCCACGCAUCACAGGCUGGAACUCCUCUUACCUCCAUAAUCAGAGGGUGGGCGACCGCAUCAGGCUUGAUCAGGGCAAGGGUGAGCUGGAGGACCUGGGGACUUCGCAAUGCAGAGGCCAUGUCACCCCUGUGACCUGGGAGGAGGACAGCGGAGUUCUGAGACAGGUAAACCGACACAAGGUGGAGCUGCCCAGGCCACCCAUGGACCAUGCCUUAAAUGCAGCAGAAGACACUGGGCAAGACAGUGCCCCAUCCUGGCGUUCUUUGAGACCUUACCCCAGGGCUACUGGACUGUCCUAGCCACCAGAGAAUGGUCUAACAUAUGUGCAUUCACCAGUGAAGUCCUGGCUAAAACACCUGGCAUCAACUGUCAUCCGGUGGACUCUCCUAGACCCCAGUACAACACCCUCUUCUAGCAGGAAGCAGUUAAAGAGAGAAAUCUUUGCCCCUUUUAAUAAUAAUAAUCAUAAGACGGGAUAUGAAAGAGUUUUGGCCCAGACAAGACACUGUAGCUGGUAAAGCCUCAGGUGGAACCAAGGAGCUCCAUCUCCCCCACCCCUAGGAAUUUACCUAUGGCGCCAAAGACCAAUGGGCUACCUGUGCAUCCCUAAUGCCCCCUUAGGUUCCACCCCAAACCUUGGCUACUUAUAUGCCUCCACUCCACGUGUUCCACGGAGAGAUCGCCGACCCUGGGGGGAGAUGUCGCGUCCCAGGGGAUUGGGGGUGUCUCUCCCCGCAUUCUCAAAAUAAAGGUCAUUUAUAUUUCAUACUUCUUAUCUUUUCAGCUGACGCCAGUCCCCCACAGUUCUAUCAAUUAAUAUAUUCGACACUUCCGGGAGAACAUGGCGGACAGAUAACAGAUACUACAGAGGCUCUCUGAAAGGCUUGGUUCAGAAGUCAGGAAGGGUGUGGAAUAAGGAGACAUAAGCAGGUGGAGAUAUGCUCUCCUGACUCAGGAACGAACUGGGCUGAGAGAAACCAACUUGGAAUGCAGUCCUGGUGCUAAAACAGAACAGAAAAGCCUCAGUGUGGAGGCUGGACCCCACGCCAUUGGAAGCCGCGAUUUGGGCUUCCCGCCGCGCGGCGACUGCCUCUACAGUGGCUCGGCAAGGAGAGAGACACGGGGAAGCUCUGAGAGCGGGAAUCUGCGAACGGAGUCGAAAACAGGACAGGCAGGGAGGCGUGCACUGACUUGUGGUGAGGUGAGUGAUAGAAACUGACACUCUACCACAGUUUGACUCCAGCGGAGGACUUUCUGGGCCUGGGCAGUCCUGCGGGAGCAGGGCACGGUGGCGACUCCAGCCACACAUCCCCCUCUCGGGCAGGAUUGGUGAAAAGUGCCUGGCCUGCGUGACGCUGCUGUUGGACCCGGUAGGCUGGCCCAACCCAGAUCCCAGAGCCUGAUGGUGGCCGGGAGGGGCGGGCCCCGCGUAGGCUGCCUGGUCUGUAACUCCCUGGUGAGCUGCGCUGGGCGGGAACACCUAACCGGCGCAAUUCAAUCAGGCUGUGGCUGACAGGGAGAGAAGCUGGGUCUCCUAUAUAAGCUUGCAUAUAUAAGGAACAGAGCAUAUGGGAAGAGGCAGCAACAAGAAAGGCUCCUUGGCCCCCAAUUCUGAGAAACAGGCAAUAGCGGACACCGCACCAAUAGACGUAAAGCGCCAUAUAGAGAGCCUCAUAGAUCAAUUCAGGAAUGAAGUUAUCAAUGACCUGAAGCUAGAAGUAUGCAGAAUAGUUAGAGAAAUGCUAAGCACCACCCAAGAAAAAACAGAUGGUGGAAUGGAAGAACAGAAAAAGAGGGGAGAAUUGUUUGAUGGAGAAAACAGAGAAAGCAUAGAAUAUGUGAAGCAGGUUCAAAGGGACUACCAAGAAACUAAGAAGUCUAUCGAAGACUGGCAUAACAGCUUGAAAGAAACUAAGGACAGACUAUCUGAACUGGAGGGCAGACUUGUAAUAUGGGAGAAUGAAAUGAAAAACUUCUUAAAAAUAACAAAGAAACAAACAGCAAUAAUACAAAGACAAGAAGAUGAUAAGAGGAUCCAUAACUUAAGGAUUAAGAACAUAAAAGAAGAAGUAGGGACACAAACAAGUGAACUACAAAAGCUACUCACAGAAAUAAUCCAGGAGAAUUUUCCUAAUUUAGCAAAAGGUAAAGAUACUCAGAUGUAUGAGGCAUACAGGACCCCAGCUACCUACAACCCAAACAGAGCAACACCCAGGCAUAUAAUAAUAAAAAUUCCAGAAAUUCAAUACAAGAACAGAAUAUUAAAAGCUGUCAGAGACAAGAAACAGACCACUUACAAGGGAACACCCAUCAGAAUUACAGCAGAUUUCUCUGCACAAACCAUCAAAUCAUGAAGAGCGUGGGGGGAAAUAAUUCAAGCUUUGAAAGAUAAUAAUCUCCAGCCAAGAUUGAGAUAUCCUGCACAACUGUCCCUGGAAAUUGAUGGAAAAACAAGGUGCUUCCAGGAUAAAGAGGAACUGGGGGAAUUUGCAACCACCAAUUCAACUCUACAGAGAGUAUUGCAGGAUAUUCUAAAAAAAGAAAAAUACAAAGAAUCCAGAAAUAGUGGCAGGGAGGCCACAACGAAUGGAGCAGAGAACAAAAUGAAGAAGACAAACUGACAGCUACUGACAGAAAAAGAGCUCAACAGAAAUGAGGCAGAGAAGAUUGGAUGAUAGGAACAGCUAUUUUGGAGAAAAUGACAUCUUAAUAGGUGAUACUGAUUUAGUAUCAUCUUGUUUUGAAGUCUCAUCAAGCUUUUGUUCUUCUGUCUCCAAUGGCCUUAAUAGGUUGUAUCUUACUGGAUUUUAUUAUGUACGAUAGUAUAAGCAAAAACCUUUUAAAGACAAGGAGAUUAUACAGAAACCAUUGUUCAUUUUCUGUUAGUCGAUUCUAAAUACUCUGUAAUGCUGUCAUUCUCUUAAAUAGUUUUACAUUGUUUUGAUAUACUUACUGCUACAGUAUACGAAGUUGUACUCAAGGAUUUCAAGGAAAGAGACAAUAUGGUAACUACUUUUAGGUCAGGAUUAUCUGGUGGUGAAACACUAUUCUGCUUAAAAGGUUAUGUUUUGAUCUGCGCUGUUUCGCUGUUAUGCCCUCUUUUAUCUCAAUCUCCAUUCCAUUAUUUACUUUUUUAUUUUUAUCCUUUUAAUUAAAGGAAAAAAAAUAGGAUAUAUUAUAGUAACCCACUUAGACUUUCCAUUAUCUUGAUUUAAAGCCCUGUAUUACUCUCACCAUCUUGUUUUUGACUGAUGUUCCCCUAUUCUGUUUUGCUGGAUAGUAUCAGGCUCGAAAGUGUAGGCAUCAGCUGUGAAGAUAAUGAGAUUCAUUAUAACGCCCAUUCUCGUUGACUUUUAUCUACUUUUGAAGACCUACAAUGUCUCCAAUGUUUUGGUUUUGUCGAUUUUAUUCUUUACUGUUUUGUUCAAUUUUAUUAUAACUAAUGAUAUAGGCAAUUCUAUUAGAGAUAGCGGGAGGCAUUACGGUAACCAUUGUUGAUCACCUUGUAUUAUGUUUUUACAUUAUCUAUUAUGUCCACCCUUUUGACUUGACCGAUUCUGUUCUGUUAUGUCACAUUUGGUUUUACUCUCUUCCAAAAAAGUAAUAAGAACCGUGGGAGCAAUGAAACCCAAAAUGUGUAAUAGUCAUUGUACAAAAGAGAGGAAAAGAAAGUGCUCUAAACUAUAUAACUGCAUGUAUAUUUAAGUGUAUAAGAUAGAAAAUGAUAUCACAGAGUUUUAUUGGAUCAUUGAACAGAACUGUUUGCAGUAUCAUUGUUGGAAUGUCCACUUUACAAGCUUUAAUUUUGUGACUUGAACAAUUUCUAAGAUUUAUUUCUAAGAUGACAAUAUGUAAUCCAUUAACUAGUGAUUUCCUACUGUUUAUCUUUUUUUUCUGUAAAUCUGUAUAACUUGUACCCUUUCUCUGCUUUUUCUUUUUUCUUUUAUCCUUAAAUAAAAUUUAAAAAAAAUUAA